rfam:Hydatigera taeniaeformis genome assembly, scaffold: TTAC_contig0010931
ACAUCGGCCCUCUUAAGGGCCACUACAAACAGGAUUGUAAGCUUAC